rfam:Triticum aestivum genome assembly, contig: Triticum_aestivum_CS42_TGACv1_scaffold_579151_7BL
GAAGUACUUCCUCCUUUCCAAAAUUCUUGUCUUAAAUUUGUCUAAAUACAGAUAUAUCAAAUCACAUUUUAGUAUUAGAUAUAUCCGUAUCUAGACAAAUUUAACACAAGAAUUCUGGGAGUACAUA